GACGAACGCUGGCGGCGUGCUUAACACAUGCAAGUCGAACGGAAAGGCCCUGCUUUUGUGGGGUGCUCGAGUGGCGAACGUGUGAGUAACACGUGAGUAACCUGCCCUUGACUUUGGGAUAACUUCAGGAAACUGGGGCUAAUACCGGAUAGGAGCUCCUGCUGCAUGGUGGGGGUUGGAAAGUUUCGGCGGUUGGGGAUGGACUCGCGGCUUAUCAGCUUGUUGGUGGGGUAGUGGCUUACCAAGGCUUUGACGGGUAGCCGGCCUGAGAGGGUGACCGGACACAUUGGGAAUGAGAUAAGGCCCAGACUCCUACGGGAGGCAGCAGUGGGGAAUAUUGCAAAAUGGGCGGAAGCCUGAUGCAGCAACGCCGCGUGCGGGAUGACGGCCUUCGGGUUGUAAACCGCUUUCGCCUGUGACGAAGCGUGAGUGACGGUAAUGGGUAAAGAAGCACCGGCUAACUACGUG
rnacentral:rRNA from 1 species